rnacentral:rRNA from 1 species
UACGUAGGGGGCAAGCGUUGUCCGGAAUCAUUGGGCGUAAAGCGCGUGUAGGCGGCUCGAUAAGUCUGCUGUGAAAGUCCAGGGCUCAACCCUGGGAUGCCGGUGGAUACUGUCGAGCUCGAGUCCGGAAGAGGCGAGUGGAAUUCCUGGUGUAGCGGUGAAAUGCGUAGAUAUCUGGAGGAACACCGGUGGCGAAGGCGGCAUCCUGGACCGGUAUUGACACUGAGGCGCGAAAGCCAGGGGAGCAAACGGG